rnacentral:rRNA from 1 species
UACGGGGGGUGCAAGCGUUGUUCGGAAUUAUUGGGCGUAAAGAGCGUGUAGGCGGCCGGAUAUGUCAGAUGUGAAAGCCCCGGGCUUAACCCGGGAAGUGCAUUUGAAACUGUCCGGCUCGAGUAGGGGAGAGGGAAGUGGAAUUCCUGGUGUAGAGGUGAAAUUCGUAGAUAUCAGGAGGAACACCGGUGGCGAAGGCGACUUCCUGGCCCUAUACUGACGCUGAGACGCGAGAGCGUGGGUAGCAAAC